GAAAUUCCUUGUCGGGUAAGUUCCGACCUGCACGAAUGGCGUAAUGAUGGCCAGGCUGUCUCCACCCGAGACUCAGUGAAAUUGAACUCGCUGUGAAGAUGCAGUGUACCCGCGGCAAGACGGAAAGACCCCGUGAACCUUUACUAUAGCUUGACACUGAACAUUGAGCCUUGAUGUGUAGGAUAGGUGGGAGGCUUUGAAGUGUGGACGCCAGUCUGCAUGGAGCCGACCUUGAAAUACCACCCUUUAAUGUUUGAUGUUCUAACGUUGACCCGUAAUCCGGGUUGCGGACAGUGUCUGGUGGGUAGUUUGACUGGGGCGGUCUCCUCCUAAAGAGUAACGGAGGAGCACGAAGGUUGGCUAAUCCUGGUCGGACAUCAGGAGGUUAGUGCAAUGGCAUAAGCCAGCUUGACUGCGAGCGUGACGGCGCGAGCAGGUGCGAAAGCAGGUCAUAGUGAUCCGGUGGUUCUGAAUGGAAGGGCCAUCGCUCAACGGAUAAAAGGUACUCCGGGGAUAACAGGCUGAUACCGCCCAAGAGUUCAUAUCGACGGCGGUGUUUGGCACCUCGAUGUCGGCUCAUCACAUCCUGGGGCUGAAGUAGGUCCCAAGGGUAUGGCUGUUCGCCAUUUAAAGUGGUACGCGAGCUGGGUUUAGAACGUCGUGAGACAGUUCGGUCCCUAUCUGCCGUGGGCGCUGGAGAACUGAGGGGGGCUGCUCCUAGUACGAGAGGACCGGAGUGGACGCAUCACUGGUGUUCGGGUUGUCAUGCCAAUGGCACUGCCCGGUAGCUAAAUGCGGAAGAGAUAAGUGCUGAAAGCAUCUAAGCACGAAACUUGCCCCGAGAUGAGUUCUCCCUGACUCCUUGAGAGUCCUGAAGGAACGUUGAAGACGACGACGUUGAUAGGCCGGGUGUGUAAGCGCAGCGAUGCGUUGAGCUAACCGGUACUAAUGAACCGUGAGG
rnacentral:rRNA from 1 species